GAGGAUAUAGCUCAGUGGUAGAGUGUGUGCUUAGCAUGCACAAGAUCCUGGGUUCAAUCCCCAGUACCUGCA
rnacentral:tRNA from 1 species